GACGAACGCUGGUGGCGUGCCUAAUACAUGCAAGUCGAGCGAAGUUUUUCCGGUGCUUGCACCGGAAAAACUUAGCGGCGAACGGGUGAGUAACACGUAAAGAACCUGCCUCAUAGACUGGGACAACUAUUGGAAACGAUAGCUAAUACCGGAUAAUAGCAUUAACUGCAUGGUUGAUGUUUAAAAGUUGGUUUUGCUAACACUAUGAGAUGGCUUUGCGGUGCAUUAGCUAGUUGGUGGGGUAAAGGCCUACCAAGGCGACGAUGCAUAGCCGACCUGAGAGGGUGAUCGGCCACACUGGGACUGAGACACGGCCCAGACUCCUACGGGAGGCAGCAGUAGGGAAUCUUCCGCAAUGGGCGAAAGCCUGACGGAGCAACGCCGCGUGAGUGAAGAAGGAUUUCGGUUCGUAAAGCUCUGUUGUUAGGGAAGAAUGAUUGUGUAGUAACUAUACACAGUAGAGACGGUACCUAACCAGAAAGCCACGGCUAACUACGUG
rnacentral:rRNA from 1 species